rnacentral:rRNA from 1 species
CAAUAGCGUAUAUUAAAGUUGUUGCAGUUAAAAAGCUCGUAGUUGGAUUUGUGGCGGUUCCUGUGGUCCUAUUCUGGUACUUUCGGGGACUGCCAUCUUUGGGUGGAUCCUGUGUGGCAUUAGGUUGUCGUGCAGGGGAUGCCCAUCGUUUACUGUGAAAAAAUUAGAGUGUUCAAAGCAGGCUUAUGCCGUUGAAUAUAUUAGCAUGGAAUAAUGAGAUAGGACCUUGGUACUAUUUUGUUGGUUUGCGCACCGAGGUAAUGAUUAAUAGGGACAGUUGUGGGUAUUCGUAUUCCAUUGUCAGAGGUGAAAUUCUUGGAUUUCUGGAAGACGAACGAAUGCGAAAGCAUUUACCAAGGAUGUUUUCAUUAA